CCUUUUAAAAGUUAUGUAGUUCAUUAUUUUUAAUUAGCUUCAAAAAUUUCAUGAUUUUUCUUAUCAAUGUCGUAAAAAGCUUACGGAAUUUUAAUCUUUUAAUUUUCACAGAAUCGUCGAAGACGACCUUUGUGUGAGUCUCUGCAGUCCUUUUUCUUGUUCUUGUUCCUUUCCCCACUUUCAAAUAACCACUAUUUAUUUUAUUAUAAUUAUGGGUCAGUUAACCCAAAUUCUUGGUUAGUUGCACAAUCUAAAGAAUCACCAACAGAACAUAGUGGAUUCUCCUUUCAAAGCUUUGAAGUUUAUCUGUCGUUAAUGAAAGAGAUGAUUGCGGUGAUAACCAGAUCAACUUCUUAGAAGUAAUGGAACUGGAAGUCUGGAUUCACGACUACCAACUCCGCAACUUUCACCAUCAAAGCAAUCUUUAACAUUCGACAACUCUGCCGGACUUCAAAAUGACCAAGCAGUGGCUGUCAUAAUGAAGCCGAGUACACUACCUAUUAUAAGUGCAGAUUUCUGGGUUUUCAAGACACUUUGUAUUCAAAGGGAAAAUAAUCCUAAUUUUUCAAGGAGUGUGACAUCUACGGGAGCGUGUAUUUCAUAUUUAGACACGGACUUGUUGUGUUCCAAAACUGUAACAUCUACGCUCGCAUACUGAGCAAAACUAUUACAGUCACCGCACAAUCAAAAGAAUAUCCAACGUCCCCCAACUUCUCCUUUCAAAAUGUUCAGUCACAGUUUCGUCAGACACACAGCCAAUAGGGCCUAGUGUUUUUGGGUCGGCCGUGGAGGCAAUAUUCCACUAUUGUGUUCAUGGAAUCAUUCCUUGGUGACGUGGUGGCAUCGGCAGGUGGUCCGAGUGAGGUCCCAGGGUCCCAAUAUACCAUCUCUUUUAUGCAGUCCAAAAGAGUAAGUUGUACAGGAUUUCAAAUAAUUGAUAAAAAAAUUAGCUGAAACAUUUAAUGUACAAAAUUUUAUUAACGGAUCUGAUUGGUUGGCAGAAACCGGCAUACCCUUUAGAUCUAACAACUACACCAGUUUCUGACAACCAAUUAGAUCCAUUAAUGAAACUUUGUAUGGUAAAAUGUUUGCGUGUUCAUCAAUUACAUGAAAUCCCAUCCAAUUUACUCUUUUGGA